GUGGGGAAGGCUGCUGCAUCGAGAAGACCGCUCCAGAGAGGAGUCCCGACACCAUCACGAGAAGCCAACGCAGCCAUGGCCUUUGUCACACAUUUUUCAGUAAAGACAACAUUCCCAUGGAGUGUCGUUGAUAAACUUCUGAAACAGGAAGCGGAAGCAUCAAGACUGGACAGAGGUGGGGUCUGAAGCCUUGCUCUGGAUGUUGCACAGACAGGAAGCAGGCAGCAGCGAAUGGGAAAGGAGAAGGAAGGGGAUGUAUUUCCUUGAUUUGAUGCCUGCCACAGUUUGAAGGGAAAAACGUCCCCCACAGGCUCUGCUGAUGGUGAUACUGGGGAGGUAGGUGAUAUUGGGCACAGAAGGUAGGACUUAGAUUGAGGACUUGUAUUGCUAGGGUAUGGACCUGAAUCCAUAACUGCUCCUCUUCCUCUGCUUCUUUUCUGCAGAAGGAGGGAGUGAUGAA